GGAACAAUUUAAAUACUGUGGAAACACAAUCAGGAUGAUAUAUGAUUUAGCGAUUUCUACAUUAAGGGAUCAGAGGGGUUGGAAUAUGAGAUUCCGGAGGUCGAAGGAGCUAGGAUUAAAACCAAGAAUCACCCACCCAGCAAAACUAAGUGUAAUCAGUGAGAGGGGGAAAUUGACAUUCAUUGACAUAGAGGAAUUUAAUGUAUUCCUGAGAAAAAACAAGAGCUAAGUAGAAAGUUUGACUUUCAAAUACAAGACUCAAGAGAAGCACGAAAAGGAAUGCCGACCUAAAGAAGACAUAAGAGACAGGAAGAACUACGUCAUGAACUUAAGUUGUGUGGGCCAGAAGACCAGAAUCUCAUGAAGGGCUGUACCAAUGUAAAGAAACAACUCUUUCUUUGAUCAGUUAAUGAAUCUCAUUAGAAGUUUACGUGAUAAAGACAAUAGUUUCUUUAGUAUGGGGGAGAAUUUUCAUGACUGUGUAAAGAAGAAUGAGAUGUUGUUGAGGAAGUUCUCUAAUUCACAUCUGUUAUCUGUUUUAUAUGGGUACCUCCCUGUAUUGAUACAGUAUAUACAUUCCUUUUAUGCUUUAAGUUUCAUGAAAAGCUGUGGCCAGAAAUACUGAUUACCUGAUGAUGAACCUCUCUAAAAAGUUAGGUUAUUUAUUAUAUGAGAAACCCAGUAAAUCGUUGGGCCUGAUCCUUUCCAGCCCAUUAGGGCUCAGCAGAGCCUUGCCAGAUCUUGCAUUGUGAUUCCAUAGACUUCAAGGUUUUUUAAUUUUGGUCUCAGAUUAGAGGAAAUGUAGUUCCUUCCUGUUGUUGAAGAGGAUGUGAAUUUUGUUUUUUGAUUUUGUUUUUUUUUUUUUAAUCUCAUUUUGUGAAAUAUUCUGUUGGUAUUUUUAUUCCUAAAAAUCUUAAGUCUAUAAAUUGGAUAUUACUGUCAUUUUUAUUAUAUUACUAUAACACAACCAUGAACACCAAAUACCUCCAGUAAUUUGGGUUUCUUUUGUUUCUGUGAAAAUUGUUUUAUAUAAGUACAUGUAUGUUUUGGUAAGUUAAUUCCCAGAUAAUAAAUAUUGUUAUUUUAAGUGGUA